rnacentral:rRNA from 1 species
UACGGAGGGUGCAAGCGUUGUCCGGAAUCACUGGGCGUAAAGGGCGCGUAGGCGGCCUGGUAAGUAGGGGGUGAAAUCCCGCGGCUUAACCGCAGGGCUGCCUUCUAAACUGUCAGGCUUGAGCACGGUAGAGGCAGAUGGAAUUCCCGGUGUAGCGGUGGAAUGCGUAGAGAUCGGGAAGAACAUCAGUGGCGAAGGCGGUCUGCUGGGCCGUUGCUGACGCUGAGGCGCGACAGCGUGGGGAGCAAACAGG